UGAAUCACCCAUCUGGUUUGGAGCUA
rnacentral:piRNA from 1 species